GAUCCUGGCUCAGGAUGAACGCUGGCGGCGUGCCUAACACAUGCAAGUCGAACGGAAACCAGACGCUCGGAGACUUCGGUCAAUGUUGUUGGUUUAGUGGCGGACGGGUGAGUAACGCGUGGAUAACCUACCUCAUACAGGGGGAUAACAGUUAGAAAUGACUGCUAAUACCGCAUAAGCGCACGGAAUCGCAUGUUUCUGUGUGAAAAGCUCAGACGGUAUGAGAUGGAUCCGCGUCUGAUUAGCUGGUUGCGGGGUAACAGCCCACCAAGGCGACGAUCAGUAGCCGGCCUGAGAGGGUGAACGGCCACAUUGGGACUGAGACACGGCCCAAACUCCUACGGGAGGCAGCAGUGGGGGAUAUUGCACAAUGGGGGAAACCCUGAUGCAAGCGACGCCGCGUGAGUGAAGAAGUAUUCGGUAUGUAAAGCUCUAUCAGCAGGGAAGAUAACGACGGUACCUGACUAAGAAGCACCGGCUAAAUACGUGCCAGCCGCAGC
rnacentral:rRNA from 1 species